GUCAAAUUGGAAUAGUAAAGACUGUAAAUGUGUUGCUUGUUCACGGGCCUAAACAACAUAGCACAGAUGCGGGGUAGCCCCUAUUCGAGUGGAAAGGGCCGAUAAUGUAUAUUCAUUUGAUGCCAGUUCUGUGGAAGAUGCUUUUCGUUUGACCCAUGGUCAGUCUAUUGUACUAUUUGGACUCAGUGGUGGUCGAUUCACAGACAGGCGUGUUUUUCUACUCUUUUGAAAGGAUAUUGUCUCUAUAUUGGCAGCCCUCUAUUAUCAUUAUGAACGGAGGA